CUGCCAGGAGGGUGCGUCACAGGGUCCCUCCCGAAGCUCCGGGAAGCCACCGAGUAGCACUACACUGCUCAUGUCCGCAGGGGCUCGGGUUGAAGGGGCUGGUACGGCAGAGGGCGUGGGCAGGAGCGGCGCGGACCCCGCAGACCGCAGCCUCAUGGGAGUCACAAGAGAAGCGCAGGCAGCCCCACCCGGUCCCAUGCGCGGGGCAGAGGAGGAAGAACAAUAAUCCGGAGGUCUCAAGUGGAGGUGGAUAUGAACGGACGAGUUUCUCGGAGCACCCCAGUCUCAGCCGAGCAACUGGGUCCUGUGAAACCUACAAGCUCAAAGCAUCUGCUGGGCGAACAACUCCCUCUAGCCUAGACAAGAGCAGCCACCACAGAGCCAUACAGUGCUUGCCUGGCAGACAUGAAGAUAUUCUAAAGAGACUCUUGUGUCUUUCGCUCUAUCAAACUGUUGAAACAAUGGAUGCCAAAGAAGUUGUCAUGCUGGAAGAAAGAAAGGAUACCAGCCAGAGAAGGAACUUGCCUCCCAGAAAUUUCAAACAGUUCUAAACAACUUGUCAAACUCCUUGAAGGAUGAGACUGGAACCCAAAUAAUGAUGGUUACUGGAGGUAUAGAGGAGUUUGCAUCACCUUCCAUCUAAGCCAUGAAGAAAUGGGUGAGGCUAGGAUUGGAAUCCAGGCCAGCCGGACGCCUUCCUUCACAGUCGCUUUAAGGCUUCAUUAUGAGCCUGUUCAACCACUGGAAAGGGGCCAUUAUUGAUUCUGGUGUUUGAAAAGUGAGUUAAGUGGCCAUAUCAACACCACUUAGCCUGAUAAAAAGGCCGGCAA
rnacentral:lncRNA from 1 species